rnacentral:rRNA from 1 species
AGUGAACGCUGGCGGUAGGCCUAACACAUGCGAGUCGAACGGCAGCACAGUAAGAGCUUGCUCUUACGGGUGGCGAGUGGCGGACGGGUGAGGAAUACAUCGGAAUCUACUUUUUCGUGGGGGAUAACGUAGGGAAACUUACGCUAAUACCGCAUACGACCUACGGGUGAAAGCAGGGGAUCUUCGGACCUUGCGCGAUUGAAUGAGCCGAUGUCGGAUUAGCUAGUUGGCGAGGUAAAGGCCCACCAAGGCGACGAUCCGUAGCUGGUCUGAGAGGAUGAUCAGCCACACUGGAACUGAGACACGGUCCAGGCUCCUACGGGAGGCAGCAGUGGGGAAUAUUGGACAAUGGGCGCAAGCCUGAUCCAGCCAUACCGCGUGGGUGAAGAAGGCCUUCGGGUUGUAAAGCCCUUUUGUUGGGAAAGAAAAGCAGCAGGUUAAUACCCCGCUGUUCUGACGGUACCCAAAGAAUAAGCACCGGCUAACUUCGUG